rnacentral:rRNA from 1 species
UACAGAGGUCUCAAGCGUUGUUCGGAUUUACUGGGCGUAAAGGGCGCGUAGGCGGCGUAACAAGUCACUUGUGAAAUCUCCGGGCUUAACCCGGAGCGGCCAAGUGAUACUGUUGUGCUAGAGUGCGGAAGGGGCUACUGGAAUUCUCGGUGUAGCGGUGAAAUGCGCAGAUAUCAGGAAGAACACCGGUGGCGAAGGCGGGUCUCUGGGCAACAACUGACGCUGAGGAGCGAAAGCGUGGGGAGCGAACAGG